CCACAGUAGCUCAGUGGUAGAGCUAUCGGCUGUUAACCGAUCGGUCGUAGGUUCGAGUCCUACCUGUGGAGCC
rnacentral:tRNA from 1 species